CCCCCACCAAAAAAAAAAAAAAAAAAUCCCUCCCGACAAUCUCUAAUUUCCUCGAUGCAGGCCUCCCUCUCCCUCCCCCCGGCCGCGCCGAGAUCCGAUCCGGGCCCCGCCGUCUUCCGCCGCUCCGCCUUCCGCUUCUGCGGCCUUCGCCGGGAGGCCCUGGGCCUCCGCUCGCUGCGCCCGGCGGGAUCCACGCGGAUCUUUCGAUCUCCCGCUCGGACUCCCUCCAGGAAGACAGUGACCGCAGUGUCGGGGAAUGGAAUUGGAAGCCUGUCUAAGGGGUUUGACUACGAUCUUGUCAUCAUUGGGGCUGGUGUUGGUGGUCAUGGAGCUGCGCUUCAUGCUGUCGAGAAAGGUCUGAAGACUGCCAUCAUUGAGGGGGAUAUUGUUGGUGGAACUUGUGUAAAUAGAGGUUGUGUUCCAUCUAAAGCUCUUCUUGCUGUGAGUGGUCGGAUGCGUGAGCUCCAAAAUGAGCAUCACUUGAACGCACUGGGUUUGCAGGUAUCAUCUCCUGGUUACGACCGACAAGGUGUUGCUGACCAUGCAAAUAAUCUUGCUUCAAAAAUUCGUAAUAACCUGACAAAUUCAUUGAAGGCUCUGGGCGUAGACAUACUAACUGGUGUUGGCACAAUUGCGGAUACACAAAAAGUGACAUAUGGUAAAGUUGGAUUUCCUGACACAGAAAUCACAGCCAGGGACAUAAUAAUUGCAACUGGGUCUGUUCCUUUUGUUCCUACUGGCAUUGAAGUUGAUGGGAAAACUGUGUUUACAAGUGAUCAUGCUCUCAAGCUGGAGUGGGUUCCAGAGUGGAUCGCCAUUGUAGGAAGUGGUUACAUCGGACUUGAAUUUAGUGAUGUGUACACAGCACUAGGAAGCGAAGUUACUUUUGUCGAAGCUCUGGAUCAACUAAUGCCUGGUUUUGAUCCUGAGAUAGGGAAGUUGGCCCAGCGAGUUCUCAUCAAUCCCAGAAAAAUUGAUUAUCAUACAGGAGUAUUUGCAAAGAAGAUCACACCAGCAAAGGAUGGCAAGCCUGUUCUUAUUGAGCUUAUUGAUGCAAAGACAAAGGAACCCAAAUAUACUCUGGAGGUAGAUGCAGCGCUUAUAGCAACUGGAAGGGCACCAUUCACGAAGGGACUUGGCCUAGAAAAUAUAAAUGUAGUUACACAACGUGGAUUUGUUCCGGUCAAUGAGCGAAUGCAAGUAAUUGAUGCAAGCGGCAAUCUGAUCCCUCAUUUAUAUUGCAUUGGAGAUGCUAAUGGAAAAAUGAUGCUUGCUCAUGCUGCCAGUGCACAAGGAAUCUCAGUUGUUGAGCAAAUUGGUGGGACAGAUAAUGUGCUAAACCAUUUAAGCAUCCCAGCUGCUUGUUUUACCCACCCUGAGAUCAGUAUGGUUGGCAUGACAGAGCCUCAAGCAAGAGAGAAAGCUCAGCAGGAGGGAUUUGAAGUAAGUGUUGCUAAGACAAGUUUUAAGGCUAACACGAAAGCUCUAGCAGAAAAUGAAGGAGAGGGGCUUGCUAAGUGCUUGCAUUGGGGAGAAUUGGAUCAGUCCCAGAUUUGGACUCUGGUGGUGGCAUUCCCACUGCAAUUCUAAACUGAACCAGUAUAAGGGGAUCUUGGCUGCUCCAAAUAAGUUUUGAGGGCUAUGGAGUUAAUAUACAGACCUGACACAGGCGAGAUUCUUGGAGUUCACAUUUUGGGGAUGCAUGCUGCAGAUCUCAUCCAUGAGGCAUCAAAUGCAAUAGCCUUGGGAACACGUGUUCAGGAUAUAAAAUUUGCUGUUCAUGCACAUCCAACUCUAUCCGAAGUUCUAGAUGAACUCUUCAAAUCUGCAGAGGUUAAUACUGGUGUAUCUCCUCCUUCUGUAAAUGAACCAGUUACAGUCUAAACAGUACGAUAGACAGCAUAAUUAUCUGGAAGAGGCGUUCUCCAAUAUUUUUAUCUACGUCAGGAACCUGUUGCCUUUCCUCAAGUGAAAAGAUUGGUGCACGGUCGAUCAUCAUGGAGCUGCUCCUGCUGCCUAUUUUGGAAAGAAAGCUGCACCCUUUGUUUCCUAUCAUUUCAAUUAUAAAAUGUCAUGAAUUUUGUAUCCUUUAUAAAUUUUUGACACUGAGUGGCAUAAAAGGUGGUGCUCUGUUGCAUCAGUUGGGGUUCUCUCUUGGUAGCAUAUUUGGAAAUGAAUCUUGUGAUGCAAUAAUAAGCUACGUAUUUAAUGUAGCUUUGUUAUAUUGGUCU